CUAAAAACCUGAUCUUUAAAGUGGACUUCAGUUAAGAUGGAGGAGAGGCAGAUGAUACUCAUAAUGCUCAUCACAGUUUCAGGUGGUUUUGCUGAUAGAAUUGGACCAAGAGAAGGAGACACUAACAUAAUCAGAGAAGAAGGAGGGUCUGUGACACUGAGCUGCACAUAUGAAACAACCAGCAAUGAUAUUUGGCUCUACUGGUACAGACAGUAUCCAAACAGAGAACCAGAAUAUUUACUGUAUAAAGGCGCUCGAUCAAAGAGCAGUGAGAAUAUACCAGAUGGGUUUCAGUCAACUACAUCCCAAUCAUCCACUGAACUUACUAUUGUAAAAGCAGCUCUGUCAGAUUCAGCUCUUUAUUACUGUGCACUUGAAGUAGCCCAGUGA